GAUGAACGCUGGCGGCGUGCCUAAUACAUGCAAGUCGAGCGAACAGAUGAGGAGCUUGCUCCUCUGACGUUAGCGGCGGACGGGUGAGUAACACGUGGAUAACCUACCUAUAAGACUGGGAUAACUUCGGGAAACCGGAGCUAAUACCGGAUAAUAUAUUGAACCGCAUGGUUCAAUAGUGAAAGACGGUUUUGCUGUCACUUAUAGAUGGAUCCGCGCCGCAUUAGCUAGUUGUUAAGGUAACGGCUUACCAAGGCAACGAUGCGUAGCCGACCUGGGAGGGUGAUCGCCCACCCUGGAACUGAGACACGGUCCAGACUCCUACGGGAGGCAGCAGUAGGGAAUCUUCCGCAAUGGGCGAAAGCCUGACGGAGCAACGCCGCGUGAGUGAUGAAGGUCUUCGGAUCGUAAAACUCUGUUAUUAGGGAAGAACAAAUGUGUAAGUAACUAUGCACGUCUUGACGGUACCUAAUCAGAAAGCCACGGCUAACUACGUG
rnacentral:rRNA from 1 species